CCCGAUUUUAAAAUGGCGUCGGUUUGCUGAUUUCGGUUGAAUUUGGAACAAGUUGUUUUCUUCUGGACAUGGACAACUACAUGAAUGAAGGAAAGGAUACCAGUUCAGACUUCCUGUUCUGCAAGUUCAGUUGACUAAAUGCUGAUUUGGGACGAGUUCUUAAAUGAGUCUGCUGUUGAUAAGAACAACAUAGAUCUUUCUGACGAUGGUGAUGUCGAGAUGGUGGCGACAGAAGAUGACACUGCAAGUUUAGCUUAGGAAUAAUCCACACCAGAAGCUCUUAAAUGUCUGCUCAGAAGAGGACAUAGCAAGCUGUGCACCAUUAAAGAGAACUUAUAUUCACUGCUGUUUGCAGCUACAGCAUCGAUGAUGGGGUGGCAACACAAUACUGUUCUUCAGGGAAAGCAGAAGUGGAUCACCUUUGUUGACAAAGUGAUAUUCGACUGGUUUGGCCUUCCAUGCCACUUGCCCCUGCAGACAUGUUAUGAUUCUAACAACAAGUUGCAUUUCAUUUGGUGGAUGUACUGUUUACUGUGUUUUUUUGUAUGUUAAUCAUUGUUUUUAGCUCACCUGAGCACAACGUGCUCAUGGUGAGCUUUUGUGAUCGCCUUUUGUCCGUCGUCCGUUGUCUGUCGUGCGACGUCAACAUAUGCCUUGUUCACUCUCUAGAGGCCACAUUUAUUGUCCAAUCUUCAUGAAAUUUGGUAAGAAGAUUGGUUUUAAUGAUAUCUUUGAUGAGUUCGAAAAUGGUGACGUUUGCUUGAAAAACAUGGCUGCCAAUGGGCUUGACAUUUUUCCGUAUAUGGCUAUAGCAAAAUCUUGUUAACACUCUAGAGGCCACAUUUAUUUCCGAUCCUCAUAAAACUUGGUCAGAAGAUUCAUCCCAAUAGUAUCUUGGACGAGUUCGAAAAUGAUGUCGGUUGGUAGAAAGACAUGGCCGCCAGGGGGCGGGGCAUUUUUCCUUAUAUGGCUAUAGUAAAACCUUGUUAACACUCUAGAGGCCACAUUUAUUUUCCGAUCUUCAUGAAACUUGCUCAGAAGAUUUGUCCUACUGAUAUCUUGGAUGAGUUCAGAAAUGGUAACCUUUGCUUGAAAAACAUGGCUGCCAAGGGGCGGGGCAUUUUUCCUUAUAUGGCUAUAUAUGACUAUAGUAAAAUCUUGUUAACACUCCAGAGGCCACAUUUGUUGUCCAAUCUUCAUGAAACUUGGUCAGAAGAUUUAUCCCAAUAAUAUCUUGGACUAGUUCGAAAAUGAUGACGGUUGGUUGAAAAACAUGGCCGCCAGGGACGGGGCAUUUUUCCUUAUAUGGCUAGAGUAAAACCUUCUUAACACUCUAGAGGCCACAUUUAUUGUCCAGUCUUGAUGAAAUUUGGUCAGAAGAUUUGUCUUAAUGAUAUUUUGGUUUAGUUCAAAAAUGGUUACGUUUGCUUGAAAAACAUGGCCGCCAAGGGCGGGGCAUUUUUCCUUAUAUGGCUAUAUAAGGCUAUAGUAAAAUCUUGUUAACACUCUAGAGGCCACAUUUAUAGUCCGAUCUUCAUGAAACUCUGUCAGAAGAUUCAUCUUAAUAAUAUCUUGGAAGAGUUAAAAAAUGAUGCCGGUUGGUUGAAAAACAUGGCCACCAUGGGGGCGGGGCUAUUUUCCUUAUAUGGCUAUAGUAAAACCUUGUUAACACUCUUGAGGUCACAUUUAUUUUCCGAUCAUCAUGAAACUUGGUCAGAAGAUUUGUCCCAAUGAUAUCUUGGAUGAGUUCGAAAAUGGUUUUGGUUGCUUUAAAAACAUGGCCACCAGGGAUGGGGCAUUUUUCCUAAUAUGGCUAUAUAUGGCUAUAGUAAAACCUUGUUAACAUUCUAGAGGCCACAUUUAUUGUCCAAUUUUCAUGAAAUUUGGUCUGAAGAUUGGUCUCAAUGAUAUCUUGGAUGAAUUUAAAAAUAAUUAUGUUUGCCUGAAAAAAAUGGCUUCCAAGGGGCGGGGCACACUCUAGAGGCCACAUUUACUGUCCGAUCUUCAUAAAACUUGGUCAGAAGAUUAAUCUUGAUAAUAUCUUGGACGAGUUAAAAAAUGAAUCCGGUUGGUUGAAAAACAUGGCUGCCAGGGGGCGGGGCAUUUUUCCUUAUUUGGCUAUAGUAAAACCUUGUUAACACUCUAGACGCCACAUUUUUUUUCCGAAUUUCGUGAAACUUGGUCAGCAGAUUUAUCCCAAUAAUAUCUUGUUAUCUCAGGUGAGCGACUUUGGGCGUGUGUCCGUCAACAAUUUGUUUGUGUAGACAGUAGAGGUCACAGUUUUCAUCCAAUCUUUAUGAAAUUUGGUCACAAUGUUUAUCUUGAUAACAUCUGGGUUGGGAUUGUAUUUUGGUCAUCUGGGGUCAAAAACUAGGUCACUAGGUUAAAUAAUAGAAAAACCUUGUGUAGACAAUGGAGGUCAAAGUUUUCAUCCAAUAUUUAUGAAAUUUGUUUAGAAUGUUUAUCUUGAUGAAAUCUGAGAUGGGAUUGUAUUUGGGUCAACUGGGGUCAAAAACUAGGUCAAUAGGUCAAAUAAUAGAAAAACCUUGUGUAGGCAAUAGAGGUCACAGUUUUCAUCCAAUCUUUAUGAAAUUUGGUCACAAUUUUUAUUUUGAUGAAAUCUGGGUUGGGAUUGUAUUUGUGUCAUCUGGGGUCAAAAACUAGGUCACUAGGUUGAAUAAUAGAAAAACUUUGUGUAGACAAUAGAGGUCACAGUUUUCAUCCAAUCUUUAUGAAAUUUGAUCAGAAUGUUUAUCUUGAUAAAAUCUGGGUUGGGAUUGUGUUUGGGUCAUCUGGGGUCAAAAACUAGGUCACAAGGUCAAAUAAUAGGAAAACCUUGUGUAGACAAUAAAGGUAACAGUUUUCAUCCAAUCUUUAUGAAAUUUGGUCAGAAUGUUUAUCUUGAUAAAAUCCGGAUAGAGAUUGUAUUUGGGUCAUCUGGGGUCAGAAGUAGGUCACUAGGUCAAAUCAUAGAAAAACCUUGUGUAGAAAAUAGAGGUCACAGUUUUCAUCCAAUCUUUAUGAAAUUUGGUCAGAAUGUUUAUCUUGAUCAAAUCUGGUUUGGGAUUGUAUUUGGGUCAUCUGGGGUUAAAAACUAGGUCACUAGGUCAAAUAAUAGGAAAACCUUGUGUAGACAAUAAAGGUCACAGUUUUCAUCCAAUCUUUAUGAAAUUUGGUCAGAAUGUUUAUUUCGAUCAAAUCUGGAUUGAAAUUGUAUUUGGGUCAUCUGGGGUCAGAACUAGGUCAAUAGGUCAAAUCAUAGAAAAACCUUGUGUAGACAAUAGAGGUCACAGUUUUCAUUAGAUCUUAAUGAAAUAUAGUCAGAAUGUUUGUCUUGUUAAUAUCUUGGUUGCGAUUGAAUGUGGGUCAUCUAGGGUUAAAAACUAGGUCACUAGGUCAAAAUUAAAAAAACUUGUGUAAACAGAAGAGGUCACAGUUUUCAUCCAAACUUAAUAAAAUUUGGCCAGAUUGUUAAUCUUGAUGAAAUCUGGGUUGGGGUUGUAUUUGUUUUCGUCUGGGGUCAAAAACUAGGUCACUAGGUCAAAUCAUAGAAAAACUUUGUGUAGACAAUAGAGGUCAUAGUUUUCAUCUGAUCUUAAUGAAAUAUGGUCAGAAUGUGUAUCUUGAUAAUAUCUGAUUUUGGAUCAUCUGGGGUCAACAAUUAGGUCACCGGGCCAAUUCUAGUAAAACCUUGUGUAGAUGAUAGAGGUCACAGUUUUCAUCAUGUCUUAAUGAAAUUUUGUCAGAAUGUAUUAAUUAAUGAAAUCUGGCUUGGGAUUGUAUAUGGAUCUGAUAGAAUUUAAGUUCAUGUAGCAAAGUAAGUCAGGUGAGCGAUUCAGGACCAUCAUGGCCCUCUUGUUUAGCAAUUGUGUUUGGAAAUUUUGCAACUGCAGCAUUUCAUUUUGAUUUUGUAACCCUGAGAGCAAUGCACUUUCUGUUGAAAUAUUAUUUAUUUUGUUACGCUGGCAUAACAUUUUAAGUUUUGGUCUGUAAAUAAGAAAUGAAAUGAAAUGCAAGUGAUUCACUUUGGAGUUGAAAUGUUGGAAAUUUGUUAUGCUGGCAUAACGUUUUAAAUUUUGGUCUGUAAAUAAGAAAUGAUAUGAAAUGCAAGUGAUUCACUUUUGAGAUGAAAUGUUUAAAAUGUUGUUACGCUGGCAUAACAUUUUAAGUUUUGUUCUGUAAAUAAGAAUAAUUCGAAAUGCAAGCGAUUCACUUUUGAGAUGAAAUGUUUGGAAUUUUGUUACGCUGGCAUAACAUUUUUAGUUUGGCUAGGUAAAUAAGGAAUAAUUGGAAACUUGAGAGCAAUGCACUUUCAGUUGAAAUAUUAUUUAUUUUGUUACGCUGGCAUAACAUUUAAAGUUUUGGUCUGUAAAUAAGAAAUCAUUUGAAAUGCAAGUGAUUAACUUUGUAGUUGAAAUGUUUGGAAUUUUGUUACGCUGGCAUAACAUUGCAAGUUUUGGUCUGUAAAUAAAAAUCAUUUGAAAUGCAAGUGAUUCACUUUGGAGUUGAAAUGUUUGGAAUUUUGUUACGCUUGCAUAACAUUGCAAGUUUUGGUCUGUAAAUAAAAAUCACUUGAAAUGCAAGCGAAUCAAUUUGGAGUUGAAAUGUUCGGAAUUUUGUUACGCUGGCAUAACGUUUUAAGUUUUGGUGUGUAAAUAAGAAAUGAUAUGAAAUGCAAGUGACUCACGUUGGAGUUGAAAUGUUCGGAAUUUUGUUACGCAGGCAUAACAUUUUAAGUUUUGGUUUGUAAAAAAGAAAUUAUUCGAAAUGCAAGUGAUUCACUUUGGAGUUGAAAUGUUGAAAUUUUGUUACGCUGGCAUAACAUGUUAAGUUUUGGUCUGUAAAUAAGAAUAAUUUGAAAUGCAAGCGAUUCACUUUGGAGUUGAAAUGUAUCGAAUUUUGUUACGCUGGCAUAACAUUUUAAAUUUUGGUCUGUAGAUAAGAAAUGAUAUGAAACGCAAGUGAUUCACUUUGGAGUUGAAAUGUUUAGAAUUUUGUUACGCUGGCAUAACAUUUAAAGUUUUGGUCUGUAAAAAAGAAAUCAUUCGAAAUGCAAGCGAUUCACUUUUUAGAUGGAUUGUUUGGAAUUUUGUUACGCUGGCAUAACAUUUUAAGUUUUGUUCUGUAAAUAAGAAAUGAUUUUAAAUGCAAGCGAUUCACUUUUGAGUUGAAAUGUGAUGAAUUUUGUUAAGAUGGUGUAACAUAUUUUUCUUUUUCAAU